rnacentral:rRNA from 1 species
UACGUAGGGACCAAGCGUUGUUCGGAUUUACUGGGCGUAAAGGGCGCGUAGGCGGCGCGGUAAGUCACUUGUGAAAUCUCUGAGCUUAACUCAGAACGGCCAAGUGAUACUGCAGUGCUAGAGUGUGGAAGGGGCAAUCGGAAUUCUUGGUGUAGCGGUGAAAUGCGUAGAUAUCGAGAGGAACACCUGCGGCGAAGGCGGGUUGCUGGGCCGACACUGACGCUGACAGCGCGAAAGCGUGGGUAGCGAACGGG